rnacentral:rRNA from 1 species
AGAGUUUGAUCAUGGCUCAGAUUGAACGCUGGCGGCAGGCUUAACACAUGCAAGUCGAGCGGGGGAAGGUAGCUUGCUACUGGACCUAGCGGCGGACGGGUGAGUAAUGCUUAGGAAUCUGCCUAUUAGUGGGGGACAACAUCUCGAAAGGGAUGCUAAUACCGCAUACGUCCUACGGGAGAAAGCAGGGGAUCUUCGGACCUUGCGCUAAUAGAUGAGCCUAAGUCGGAUUAGCUAGUUGGUGGGGUAAAGGCCUACCAAGGCGACGAUCUGUAGCGGGUCUGAGAGGAUGAUCCGCCACACUGGGACUGAGACACGGCCCAGACUCCUACGGGAGGCAGCAGUGGGGAAUAUUGGACAAUGGGGGGAACCCUGAUCCAGCCAUGCCGCGUGUGUGAAGAAGGCCUUAUGGUUGUAAAGCACUUUAAGCGAGGAGGAGGCUACUUUAGUUAAUACCUAGAGAUAGUGGACGUUACUCGCAGAAUAAGCACCGGCUAACUCUGUGCCAGCAGCCGCGGUAAUACAGAGGGUGCGAGCGUUAAUCGGAUUUACUGGGCGUAAAGCGUGCGUAGGCGGCUUAUUAAGUCGGAUGUGAAAUCCCCGAGCUUAACUUGGGAAUUGCAUUCGAUACUGGUGAGCUAGAGUAUGGGAGAGGAUGGUAGAAUUCCAGGUGUAGCGGUGAAAUGCGUAGAGAUCUGGAGGAAUACCGAUGGCGAAGGCAGCCAUCUGGCCUAAUACUGACGCUGAGGUACGAAAGCAUGGGGAGCAAACAGGAUUAGAUACCCUGGUAGUCCAUGCCGUAAACGAUGUCUACUAGCCGUUGGGGCCUUUGAGGCUUUAGUGGCGCAGCUAACGCGAUAAGUAGACCGCCUGGGGAGUACGGUCGCAAGACUAAAACUCAAAUGAAUUGACGGGGGCCCGCACAAGCGGUGGAGCAUGUGGUUUAAUUCGAUGCAACGCGAAGAACCUUACCUGGCCUUGACAUACUAGAAACUUUCCAGAGAUGGAUUGGUGCCUUCGGGAAUCUAGAUACAGGUGCUGCAUGGCUGUCGUCAGCUCGUGUCGUGAGAUGUUGGGUUAAGUCCCGCAACGAGCGCAACCCUUUUCCUUACUUGCCAGCAUUUCGGAUGGGAACUUUAAG